GAUGAACGCUGGCGGCGUGCCUAAUACAUGCAAGUCGAGCGAACAGAUGAGGAGCUUUCUCGUCUGACUUUAUCGGCGGACGGGUGAUGAACACGUGUUUAACCUACCUAUAAGACUGGGAUAACUUUGGGAAACCGUAUCUAAUGCCGGAUAAUAUAUUGAACUUGAUUGUUCAAUAGUUGAAGACGGUAUUUCUUUCACUUAUAGAUUGAUCCGGACCGCAUUAGCUAGUUGGUAGGGUAGAGGCUUACCAAGGCAACGAUGCUUACCCGACCUGAACGGGUCAUCGGACACCCUGUAACAGAGACACGGCACCGACUCCUACGCGAGGCCGCAGUAGAGACUCUUACGAAAUGGGGGAAAGGCUGACGGAGCAAAGCCGGGUGAGUGAUGAAGCUCUUCGGAUCGUAAAACUCUGUUAUUCGGGAAGAACAAAUGUGUAAGUAACUAUGAACGUAUUGACGGUACCUAAUCAGAAAGCCACGGCUAACUACGUG
rnacentral:rRNA from 1 species